ensembl:snRNA U6 U6 spliceosomal RNA
GUGCUUGCUUCGGCAGCACAUAUACUAAAAUUGGAACAAUACAGAAAACAUUAGCAUGGCCCCUGUGCAAGUAUGACACGCAAAUUUGUGAAGCGUUCCAUAUUAAA